UACGUAGGGGGCAAGCGUUGUCCGGAUUUAUUGGGCGUAAAGAGCUCGUAGGCGGUGUGUCGCGUCGGCCGUGAAAACCUGCAGCUUAACUGUGGGCUUGCGGUCGAUACGGGCAUCACUGGAGUUCGGCAGGGGAGACUGGAAUUCCUGGUGUAGCGGUGAAAUGCGCAGAUAUCAGGAGGAACACCGGUGGCGAAGGCGGGUCUCUGGGCCGAAAUUGACGCUGAGGAGCGAAAGCGUGGGGAGCAAACAGG
rnacentral:rRNA from 1 species